AGGGGAUCUUCCACAAUGGACGCAAGUCUGAUGGAGCAACGCCGCGUGAGUGAAGAAGGUUUUCGGAUCGUAAAGCUCUGUUGUUGGUGAAGAAGGAUAGAGGCAGUAACUGGUCUUUAUUUGACGGUAAUCAACCAGAAAGUCACGGCUAACUACGUGCCAGCAGCCGCGGUAAUACGUAGGUGGCAAGCGUUGUCCGGAUUUAUUGGGCGUAAAGCGAGCGCAGGCGGAAUGAUAAGUCUGAUGUGAAAGCCCACGGCUCAACCGUGGAACUGCAUCGGAAACUGUCAUUCUUGAGUGCAGAAGAGGAGAGUGGAACUCCAUGUGUAGCGGUGGAAUGCGUAGAUAUAUGGAAGAACACCAGUGGCGAAGGCGGCUCUCUGGUCUGCAACUGACGCUGAGGCUCGAAAGCAUGGGUAGCGAACAGGAUUAGAUACCCUGGUAGUCCAUGCCGUAAACGAUGAGCGCUAGGUGUUGGGGACUUUCCGGUCCUCAGUGCCGCAGCAAACGCAUUAAGCGCCCCGCCUGGGGAGUACGACCGCAAGGUUGAAAC
rnacentral:rRNA from 1 species